GUAGCGUAUAUUAAAAUUGUUGCAGUUAAAAAGCUCGUAGUUGGAUUUCUGGCUCGUUGUCCUAGCCCGCUCGCUUCGGUGGGUGAGUGCUGGUACAAUCUGCCAUCCUUCCAGAGAGCCAUGAGUACCCUUCAUUGGGCCGCUCGUGUGCGAUCUGGAUCAUUUACUUUGAAAAAAUUAGAGUGUUUAAAGCAGGCUUACGCCUUGAAUACAUUAGCAUGGAAUAAUAACAUAGGACUUCGGUUCUAUUUUGUUGGUUUCUAGGACCUUAGUAAUGAUUGAUAGGGAUAGUUGGGGGUGCUAGUAUUCAGCGGCCAGAGGUGAAAUUCUUGGAUUCGCUGAAGACUAACUACUG
rnacentral:rRNA from 1 species